CAACAGAGGGAAGCAAAGCCGCGAGGUGGAGCGAACCCCUAAAAGCCAUCUCAGUUCGGACUGCAGGCUGCAACUCGCCUGCACGAAGUCGGAAUCGCUAGUAAUCGCGGAUCAGCAAGCCGCGGUGAAUACGUUCCCGGGCCUUGUACACACCGCCCGUCACACCAUGAGAGCCGGGAACACCCGAAGUCGGUAGCCUAACCGCAAGGAGGGCGCUGCCGAAGGUGGGUUCGGUAAUUGGGGUGAAGUCGUAACAAGGUAUC
rnacentral:rRNA from 1 species